rnacentral:lncRNA from 1 species
CUACCAGCUGAUUCCUUUCUAGCAAUGUAAUGCUUCACCGUCAGCUGACUGACACAAGAAGCAAAAGAGAGAUAUUAACACUCUUAGCUGAAACCAGGACACAAUUCUAGCUUCGUAAGUUUCCACUCAUGGGCAGGGACAUCUUCCACUAGAACAGACUGUUCAAACCCCCGUCCAACCUGGCUUUGAACACUUCCAGGGAAGGAGCAUAAACAACUUCUCUGGGCAACCACUUCCACUGCCUCAGCAUAGUCAAUACUGAAGCAAUGCAGAGAUAUAUUCAAUGUUAAGGUGUGAAACAACUUCCCUCUCCUGUGAGAAAGACAGUGCCAUCCAGGAUAAAAGUUGGGAGGUUCAGUACAGCAAUUCCAGCCAUGCAGUGCACAAUUCUAGGAAUUGACUGUCGUUGAUACAAAUGAAAAAUGCAGUUAAUACAUAAAAUAUUCAUAUCACUUACAAAAGAAGAAGAAAGUGAAAAAGCAAGAGGAUCAUAUUAUCUUACAGAUCAAAGUUUGCUGAGGAGCAAGUCCAGGCAAGUCCUGGGCAAAGGCAGAGAAAUCUUUUGUCUU